rnacentral:rRNA from 1 species
AUUGAACGCUGGCGGCAGGCCUAACACAUGCAAGUCGAACGAGUGGCGGACGGGUGAGUAAUGUCUGGGAAACUGCCUGAUGGAGGGGGAUAACAACUGGAAACGGUAGCUAAUAUCGCAUACUAUCAGAUGUGCCAAGAUGGGAUUAGCUUGUGGUUGUGGGAACGGCUCACCUAGGCGACGAUCCCUAGCUGGUCUGAGAGGAUGACCAGCCCCACUGGAACUGAGACACGGUCCAGACUCCUACGGGAGGCAGCAGUGGGGAAUAUUGCACAAUGGGCGCAAGCCUGCUGCAGCCAUGCCGCGUGUAUGAAGAAGGCCUUCGGGUUGUAAAGUACUUUCAGCGGGGAGGCGUUACCCGCAGAAGAAGCACCGGCUAACUCCGUGCCAGCAGCCGCGGUAAUAC